CCCGCGCGGCGCUCCCUCCCAGGCUGGCAGGGGCAGCGGGACCCUUUGCCUAGGAAGGGGUUGCGGGGCGCGGAGCGUCGGGCAUCCAGAUAGGUGCAGCUCCAGCCCAUGUCAUGAGAUGAAAAAGAAGAUGGAACAGAGCCCACCCUGAAGCAGGGUCACAGGUGGCCUGCAAUCUACCAUGUUUGCCCUCAGCCUGACAAGCAAAAGAGUGGAAGAAUCUUUGCACUCACUUGCUCCAUCACAUGGCACGUGAGAAGAGGUCUCCUUCUCAUCAAGGGCAAGUACUGUUUUCAGCCUUUAGUAAAUAUGGGCAAUUUCCUCCCACACCAAUAUCCCCCUCAUAACAGUUCAGAGUGAACUGGGUUGAAGAAUUUCUCCCAGUAGCACUUGCCCAUGCGUGGUCAUGGGCAUAGUCCAACAUCUAACAAGGUGCCUUGUCCCCAAAUAAGCUACAAAAUGGUUUUUAUUAAUUCAACAAUAAUAGCUAUAUUUUCUUGAAUGCUCUUAUGUGCAGACAGGAAGCCAAGGGCUUUACAAGCAAGAUUUCAUUGACUUCCCCGACAACUCCUAUGAGGUGAAUACUUUCAAUAGGCCCAUCUUACAGAUGAUAAAGUGCUGUACUUGUGAUGCGCGGAAGGUUCAAUU